rnacentral:rRNA from 1 species
AACGAACGCUGGCGGCAUGCCUAACACAUGCAAGUCGAACGAGACCUUCGGGUCUAGGGGCGCACGGGUGCGUAACGCGUGGGAACCUUCCCUUAGGUUCGGAAUAACUCCCCGAAAGGGGUGCUAAUACCGGAUAAUGUCUUCGGACCCAAGAUUUAUCGCUGUUGGAUGGGCCCUCGUUGGAUUAGGUAGUUGGUAGGGUAAAAGCCGACCAAGGCGACGAUCGAUGGCUGGUUGGAGAGGAGGAUCAGCUGCACUGGGACUGAGACCCGGCCCAGAAUCCUACGGGACGCAGGAGUAGGGAAUAUUGGGCAAGGAGCGCAGGCCUGAUCAAGCAACGCCCGGUGAGAGAUCCAUGCGUUAGGGUUCUACAGCUCUUUUACCCGGGACGAUAGUGACGGUACCGGGAAAAUAAGCACCGGCUAACUACGUG